UAGGGAAUCUUCCGCAAUGGACGAAAGUCUGACGGAGCAACGCCGCGUGAGUGAAGAAGGAUUUCGGUUCGUAAAACUCUGUUGUUAGGGAAGAAAAAAUGUAUAGUAACUAUAUACAAAAGAGACGGUACCUAACCAGAAAGCCACGGCUAACUACGUGCCAGCAGCCGCGGUAAUACGUAGGUGGCAAGCGUUGUCCGGAAUUAUUGGGCGUAAAGCGCGCGCAGGUGGUUUAGAAAGUCUGAUGUGAAAGCCCACGGCUCAACCGUGGAGGGUCAUUGGAAACUAAUAAACUUGAGUGCAGGAGAGAAAAGUGGAAUUCCUAGUGUAGCGGUGAAAUGCGUAGAGAUUAUGAGGAACACCGGUGGCGAAAGCGGCUUUUUGGCCUGCAACUGACACUGAGGCGCGAAAGCGUGGGGAGCAAACAGG
rnacentral:rRNA from 1 species